GAGGGUGUUGAGGCUUCAAUUCCGUAGUGCAUUGCAGUGCAUGCUGCCACCUGCAAGCAGUGCGGGAGUGAGGCUGAGGCAUGCCUUAACUA
rnacentral:pre_miRNA from 9 species